UAAGUAGUAGUAUAAUUAAAGGCUUGAAUAACGUGGCAAAUAAGGAGAGAUAAGCUCUCAUUAGUUAAGCUAGAAAUAGUCAAGUGCAUGGCUAGAUGUUGGGACAGUUCAAAUUUGAAAUUAUAUAUAUAAAAAAAAUACUAGGAGUUGGUUGCAUAUGUGAAGUACUUGGAAAUGUUGGCUGAAUAAAGGGAAGAAGUUAAGGGGUUUAGUUGUUGCGGAUUCAAAUAUUAACCAUAGUUAGAGUGGAUUAGUGGUGUAGUUAAGGUAGAUGUGGCUUAGUUAAUUCUAAGAGGCUAUAAAUAGGACUCACUUUUUCACAUUUCACUCACACUUUGAUAACCAAACCUCUCAUCAUCACUCUAAUUCUCUUGUGAACUUUGAGCUUUCAUCACAAUAUAAUUUUUCUCUUAUUCUCUCAUACCUGAAAGCCUAUUACAUUAAAUUUCAAUCAAUAUAGCUCUCUUUAAAUUACAACUCUUAUCAUCCCACUUUCUUCCAUCCCUGGUGUUCUGUUAUCUCUAGAUAAAACCAUCACCAUACGCCACAAUCAAAUUUCUCUUAUAACCAUCACAAUCAUCCUCUCAUAAAUAUAUAUAUAUCUUUCAUCAUAUUGGCAUCACCAUCUCCAUCAUUUUAUAGUGUUCAACUAGAUCUCAUUUGAAAGCUAAGGUUUGUCAUAGAACAAUUAUUAUUUCUCAAAGAUUUCUCUCAUUGCAAUCAAGGUUAAGGCUCCACAUCCGAGACCAAGGUAACUGAAAGUUUAGAAAGCCGGUGGCGAGUGGAACUUUGGAUGCUUGUGUGUGUGAACUCGCUGAGGGCCAUAUAACUGCGGGCGGUCUAGGGCGCUCUAUUUAUUUAUUUACGUUAUUAAACUUAUGUCGCAAUUAUUUUAGUUAUUAAUUAUUAUGUCUUUUGUACGAAAACUGGCCAGUUGUGAACAUUUUCAAGUAUUAAAUAAAAAUGCGACAUUAUGAUUUUCCGCGUUUAACGCUUGUAAACAAAAUUAAUAUUUUUAUAAAAGUACGGGCGUUACA